rnacentral:rRNA from 1 species
GAUGAACGCUGGCGGCGUGCCUAAUACAUGCAAGUCGAGCGAACGGACGAGAAGCUUGCUUCUCUGAUGUUAGCGGCGGACGGGUGAGUAACGCGUGGAUAACCUACCUAUAAGACUGGGAUAACUUCGGGAAACCGUAGCUAAUACCGGAUAAUAUUUUGAACCGCAUGGUUCAAAAGUGAAAGACGGUCUUGCUGUCACUUAUAGAUGGAUCCGCGCUGCAUUAGCUAGUUGGUAAGGUAACGGCUUACCAAGGCAACGAUGCAUAGCCGACCUGAGGGGGUGAUCGGCCACACUGGAACUGAGACACGGUCCAGACUCCUACGGGAGGCAGCAGUAGGGAAUCUUCCGCAAUGGGCGAAAGCCUGACGGAGCAACGCCGCGUGAGUGAUGAAGGUCUUCGGAUCGUAAAACUCUGUUAUUAGGGAAGAACAUAUGUGUAAGUAACUGUGCACAUCUUGACGGUACCUAAUCAGAAAGCCACGGCUAACUACGUG